rnacentral:rRNA from 1 species
UACGGAGGAUCCGAGCGUUAUCCGGAUUUAUUGGGUUUAAAGGGAGCGUAGGUGGAUUGUUAAGUCAGUUGUGAAAGGUUGCGGCUCAACCGUAAAAUUGCAGUUGAAACUGGCAGUCUUGAGUACAGUAGAGGUGGGCGGAAUUCGUGGUGUAGCGGUGAAAUGCUUAGAUAUCACGAAGAACUCCGAUUGCGAAGGCAGCUCACUAGACUGCAACUGACACUGAUGCUCGAAAGUGUGGGUAUCAAACAGG